GCUCUGGAGAAGCUCACACCCGUUGUGAGGGCCGAAGGUGCAAGGCGUCGGAGACGUCGUCAAAUCUCUCAGGCAAAAGGACAGGGC
rnacentral:ncRNA from 1 species